ACCAGAAGUAAUAGUGCAGCUAUCUAUCUCCCAUUUUGCGUCUGACCGGUAGGAAGGUAUUCUAGCUUCUACAUUGCACUUGGAUGUGUUUGGUCCAUGCUUUUUCCUUCAUUUUUUUAUCUUUUCGGGGGCUAAAUAUGAAAAGGCCUGUGUUGUCUUUAUAUCUUUUUUCUAACUCUGUAGAUGCUAAUAGCCAUGUUGUGUCUAGUAUUGUGAACUGGUCGUUCCUUUUCUUGUCAAAAUCACAUUAAAAGAGGUCUAUUUUUAUUUUUUGUUUUUUUUUUUCUAUUUAAAGAUGUAAUUUGGUAUACUUUCAUCUGUUCUACACAAACAAGUCAUUAUUUAAAUUUGCCGUUAUGUGUGGAGGUAUGAAUAUUUGAUUUUAAAUUGUUUGAUGUAAACACAUUAUUCUACUUAUACUUUGCAAUGAUGAUGUUAAUAGAUACAGGAAAUAAUUUACAGAUGAUUCAAGAACUUGUCUCUGAGCUUGGCACUGAGUUUUCUCUCAAAGACCACCAUUUCGUCGAAAGUAAAAAGGUUACCAACGGGCUUGAUUCUUUCACAAAUGAAGUAUUCAAGAGACUUGUCGAAUAUUACUAGGUCGAAUAUAACUUGUGUUGUCAACCUAGCAUGUCAACAAUUUCAUACGGAAACAUGUUACAUGUACAUUAAGUUUGGUAUCCUUUAAUAUGGCGACCAUCAAAACCAUUGAUUUUUAUAACAUCUUUUCACAUCACUAGUCAGAUUUUGACACAUACGAUGGAAUGUCAUCCUUAAUAUCAACAAGCAUGUACAUCUAGAUUUAUUCUUUCAUACGAAGCCGGUGUUUGGUUCCAUAUGAAAAGGCCUGUGUUGUCUUUAUAUCUUUUUUCUAACUCUGUAGAUGCUAAUAGCCAUGUUGUGUCUAGUAUUGUGAACUGGUCGUUCCUUUUCUUGUCAAAAUCACAUUAAAAGAGGUCUAUUUUUAUUUUUUGUUUUUUUUUCCUAUUUAAAGAUGUAAUUUGGUAUACUUUCAUCUGUUCUACACAAACAAGUCAUUAUUUAAAUUUGCCGUUAUGUGUGGAGGUAUGAAUAUUUGAUUUUAAAUUGUUUGAUGUAAACACAUUAUUCUACUUAUACUUUGCAAUGAUGAUGUUAAUAGAUACAGGAAAUAAUUUACAGAUGAUUCAAGAACUUGUCUCUGAGCUUGGCACUGAGUUUUCUCUCAAAGACCACCAUUUCGUCGAAAGUAAAAAGGUUACCAACGGGCUUGAUUCUUUCACAAAUGAAGUAUUCAAGAGACUUGUCGAAUAUUACUAGGUCG
rnacentral:lncRNA from 1 species